rnacentral:rRNA from 1 species
GCCUACGGCCAUACCACCCUGAAAGCGCCUGAUCUCGGAAGCUAAGCAGGGACGGGCUUGGUUAGUACCUUGAUGGGAGACCGCCUGGGAAUACCAGGUGUUGUAGGCU